rnacentral:rRNA from 1 species
CUGGCUCAGGAUGAACGCUGGCGGCGUGCUUAACACAUGCAAGUCGAACGGAGUAUAGACGCUGCAGAGAUUUCGGUCGAAGCUUGUUAUACUUAGUGGCGGACGGGUGAGUAACGCGUGGGUAACCUGCCGUAUGCAGGGGGACAACAGUUGGAAACGACUGCUAAUACCGCAUAAGCGCACGGUAUCGCAUGAUACAGUGUGAAAAGAUUUAUCGGCAUACGAUGGACCCGCGUUUGAUUAGAUAGUUGGUGAGGUAACGGCUCACCAAGUCGACGAUCAAUAUCCGGCCUGAGAGGGCAAUCGGCCACAUUGGGACUGAGACACGGCCCAAACUCUUACGGGAGGCAGCAGUGGGGAAUAUUGCACAAUGGGGGAAACCCUGAUGCAAGCGACGCCGCGUGAGUGAAGAAGUAUUUCGGUAUGUAAAGCUCUAUCAGCAGGGAAGAUAGUGACGGUACCUGACUAAGAAGCCCCGGCUAACUACGUGCCAGCAGCCGC